GCGGCGGCCGGCGGCGUGCUAUUUCUAUGACAUAUGGCAGGCUGUCUGUGUCUAGGGGUUCUAUAAGAGUAAACCUAGGGUUCUUAUACAUAGUUCAAAACUUAGGAAUUGAAAUUUGAAACUUGAACUCUGUGACUUUAGUUACUUUGUAGAUUUGGAAAAAAAAAUAAUCAAAAACAACUCAGAACCAACCCAGUUAAUGACCGAUAGCUUUCUCUGAAGGACAACCAGACUACAGCUAAGCUUACCAAUAAUUUAUUUGAAUUCUCAAUUUAUCUUGCUGUACCCUAAUACACACGUGUAUACGUCUCGACCGUAGAGUCUAGUGGAAGCUGGGAUUUAAAGGCACUUUCGAGAAGCUUGAUGCGAUGAGACUCUUCGAAUCUGAUGUGUAUCUGCUGUUGGCAACAAAUUAAUAAGAUCGAAACCAAAUGUUAUUUUGUUUAAUUCGCACUUGAUGCCAAAGGGAGUUGAUCAAGAUCGCGACUUAUAGAUUAAAAAAACACUCAUUAUAUUGAAUGGAAAAUUUCUCGAAGUUGUUUCUUUUUGUUUUUUGAAUAUAAAACAAAAAUAAACAUAAAUGUAGCAGAUUAUAAGAAGAGAGAAAAAAAUUAAAUGAUUUCGAAUUUGGAAUUAGUUAAUUUUAAAACGAAAACAAAGUGAUGUCGAGACUCUAAACAAGUUCAAAUCUUUUUAGUUUUGUAUUACUUAUUAAAAUAUGAUUGA